rnacentral:rRNA from 1 species
AGAGUUUGAUCCUGGCUCAGGAUGAACGCUAGCUACAGGCUUAACACAUGCAAGUCGAGGGGCAGCAUGGUCUUAGCUUGCUAAGGCCGAUGGCGACCGGCGCACGGGUGAGUAACGCGUAUCCGAACCUGCCUUACACUCUUGGACAGCCUUCUGAAAGGGGAGAUUAAUACAAGAUGGUUAUCAUGAGUAAGCAUUUUCGCAUGAUUAAAGGUUUACCGGUGUAAGAUGGGGAUGCGUUCCAUUAGAUAGUAGGCGGGGUAACGGCCCACCUAGUCUUCGAUGGAUAGGGGUUCUGAGAGGAAGGUCCCCCACAUUGGAACUGAGACACGGUCCAAACUCCUACGGGAGGCAGCA